CGGAAACGAUGGGAGCUUGCUCCCAGGCGUCGAGUGGCGGACGGGUGAGUAAUACUUAGGAAUCUGCCCAUUAGUGGGGGACAACUCGAGGAAACUCGAGCUAAUACCGCAUACGCCCUACGGGGGAAAGCGGGGGAUCUUCGGACCUCGCGCUAAUGGAUGAGCCUAAGUCGGAUUAGCUUGUUGGUGAGGUAAAGGCUCACCAAGGCGACGACCCGUAGCUGGUCUGAGAGGACGAUCAGCCACACUGGGACUGAGACACGGCCCAGACUCCUACGGGAGGCAGCAGUGGGGAAUAUUGGACAAUGGGCGCAAGCCUGAUCCAGCAAUGCCGCGUGUGCGAAGAAGGCCUGCGGGUUGUAAAGCACUUUCAGUAGAGAAGAAAAGCUUACGGCUAAUACCCGUGAGUCUUGACGUUACCUACAGAAGAAGCUCCGGCUAACUCCGUGCCAGCAGCCGCGGUAAUACGGAGGGAGCGAGCGUUAAUCGGAAUUACUGGGCGUAAAGCGCGCGUAGGCGGCUUUGUUAGUCGGAUGUGAAAGCCCCGGGCUUAACCUGGGAAUGGCAUUCGAUACUGCAUAACUAGAGUAUGGUAGAGGGAAGUGGAAUUUCCGGUGUAGCGGUGAAAUGCGUAGA
rnacentral:rRNA from 1 species